UCAGGAUGAACGCUAGCUACAGGCUUAACACAUGCAAGUCAGGGGCAUCAUGGAGUUGCUUGCAAACUCUGAUGGCGACCGGCGCACGGGUGAGUAACGCGUAUCCAACCUUCCCUAUAGUAGAGGAUAGCCCGGCGAAAGUCGGAUUAAUACUCUAUGUUUUCCGUUGCAGACAUCUAAGAUGGAACAAAGGCUUGCCGCUAUAGGAUGGGGAUGCGUCUGAUUAGGUAGUCGGCGGGGUAACGGCCCACCGAGCCAUCGAUCAGUAGGGGUUCUGAGAGGAAGGUCCCCCACAUUGGAACUGAGACACGGUCCAAACUCCUACGGGAGGCAGCAGUGAGGAAUAUUGGUCAAUGGGCGAGAGCCUGAACCAGCCAAGUAGCGUGCAGGACGACGGCCCUAUGGGUUGUAAACUGCUUUUAUGCGGGGAUAAAGUUCACUACGUGUAGUGUUUUGUAGGUACCGCAUGAAUAAGGACCGGCUAAUUCCGUGCCAGCAGCGGC
rnacentral:rRNA from 1 species